UGUCGUAGCUCGCUCCUCGUCGUCAUCACCGUAGCUCACUCGCCCCUCGUCGUCGUCACUUGCCCUUCAUCACAGAUCGUAGACGGUAGAUUGCAGAUCCUCUGCUCAGCUCCAGUGCUCGAUGCUCGGUGCUCGGUGCUCGCAGAUCGCAGAUCCCUCCCUGAGUUCCCUUAAGUCUUUAUUCUUCCCAUUACAGGGCUUCUUUAACUUCCAGAUUUCUCCCAAGAAAAGCUUCCCCUUAUGCAAUCACACUUUACAUUAUCUCUCUCUUUGCUUUCUCCAUCUUCAUAUUUCUGUUCAAUACAAGGAAUAUCUUGGAGGAAGAUGAACAAAAACCAAAUUUCUCUGGAGAGUUUCUGUCUGAGCAGAUUCCUGAAGAACAGCUUUGGGAUGCUCCUUUCAGCUAUGGGUUACAGUCAUGUAUCAAGCCUACUCAAAGAGUCAUUAUUU